UUUUUUAGGUUUCUAUCUCUUGUAAUAGUUAAAUGUUCGAGGAUAAAAAUUAUUUUUUAUUAUUUUAAUAAAUUCACAUAGGUAUUUUUAUCUUAAUAAUAUAUAUUUCUUGUAUAUACUAUUUGUUAAUAUCCAUAAAGUAUUGGUCUAACGAUGAUUUAAAAUAUUUUUUCCUGAUAUAUAAGACACUAGUAGUUCACAUGAGAUAUGUCGCUCUUCAUCUUACUUAUUUAGUUUUUAUAUCUAAAAUACAUUUAAAUAAUAUGAUAUUAUUCUAGAUUUAUAUAAUAAAUUAUAUCAAUGUAAAUUUGGAUUUUAAUUCGUCUUUGUCAUGCGUCUAAUUCCUAUCCCGUAUUUUUUUAUAUACCAAGUAUUAUUAUUAUAGAGUUCACCAUUGGUUUGGUAUGCUCAUCCAAAUUCUUAUCCGAUAACUGACGAUAGAGACAGAUGCAGUCGUUCCACCAUCUUUUACGGGGAAAUGACUAACUUGAGAUUGUGAGAAUAAAAUGGUGAGGGAUAAGGAUGCACUGACUCAAUAAAUGUGUGGGCUACAUUAGUGGUUAAAGUAAAGGGUGUCCAAUUAGAAGAUUACAAACGUAUGACGCUAACAUGACUUCAUGCACGGGAGACUUUGGAGACAGUGACACGAAUGCAAAAGUCCAUACCAUACCAUAUAAUGGAAACAGCAACAGCAUGGCCUCGUCGACGUCGGCGCUACGGGCCAAGUCUACACCCGACUCAUCUGCCAGUCCGGAAAGGACGACCUCGGUGCGUGAACGAUACUCGUCCUUGGUUUUCCUUGUACUUUAUUUCUUAGCAACAAAGUUGGGUAGGUGUGAUAGCGUCAAGUGUGGGGGCCAGCCUUGACGUUGAGAAUCCCUUCUACGCUAAAUUACUUAUACCCAUUUAAAAUAUUUUUAAAUAAAUAAAUAUAAAAAUUAUCAGAUAAUAUUUUAAACCUCAAUAUCUAAUAAAGAAGUGUCAUACACCACCAAUGUUUUAGGUGUUUAAAUAUAUUUAAUUGUGGCAAAAAAUUAAAUUGUUUAUAGCUUGUAGCAUGUACACCUUCCAUUAAAUUCCUAUAUAUUUUUGGUAGACUUAUAUGUUCGAUUGCUAGUCAAAAUUGAUUUUAAAUAUUUUGUUUUCAUCUUUUAUGCCCUUUGCGCCUCCUAAGUUGCCCCUCUUUUCUGUAUACUUUAUAUUAGUUGCAAUUACAAGUUAUAACUUUAUAGAUUGAUGUCCAAACAACCAUUUAAAGUAUUUAUUAUUUUUAUCUAUAAUUAUUACUUAUUAAAAUUAUCUUUAGAGUGAUAUUAAAAUUAAUUUUAUAUUUUAGAUGUUAUUAAGUACUAGAAAAUAGUUUAAUCAUUGAAUGGUUGAUCGGGCGGCUCAUAAAUCUCGAUCGUAAUAUUGUGUGUCAAUGAUAAGAUCAUCGAUAUAGACAUCGAGGUAUUAUUAACACGAAUGACUUGGAUGUUUAUGUUGAUGCUGGCAUGGACGUUAGCAUGCCAACCCAUGCAUAUUACUAUUUACAGAUAUUUCUAUUAGCACUCACUAAACAAAACAUGCUAGAAAAGGAAAAAACAAUUCUCACACUGCUAAAAAUGAAUCACCUAAACGUAUGUUGACACUACAGGGAUUCAUUCAUCGCCGAAGACCGAGAGCAAACAUGCAAAUGACUUCUUCAUCACUAGCUUUAUAUAUGCUACUGCCUCAGCAUCAACACCUAUCGACUCUCCACUGCGUUCUCAAACCACAAACCCUACUCCAUCAACUUACACCCUAAACCAACAUGGUGCAGAAUUAAUGUCACCAUUUGCCCUCUUUGACUUGAGAAAGAAAUCAUAUAUCCAUCUUUGACUUGAGAAAGAAAUCAUAUAUCCAUUUCAUAGAAUGCUCGUCUUAGUUUAUCCAUUUGCUUUUUGUCUCAACAAUAACAAUAAUAUGCUAUACCUUAUGAUGCGGUAUAUUUUAGUCCCAAGAUAUAUCAGAUUAGAAUCCGUACUAAGGUGUUGCUUGGCACGUCACGUCU
rnacentral:lncRNA from 1 species